GUUUGAACUUGAUCGGUGGAGGAAUUGUGGGUCGACUCGAGACAGUUUCUAUGGUGUGGAAAGGGACAGUAGCAGCCAGCUGAUCGAAGUGUAAUGAAACCGGCAGGGAGAGUGAGCUCGUCUGUGGUGGUCGGCGAACCCUCAACCUUCUGAUCUGUAUUUUUAUGCAAUUGUUACUCUUGUACUCUAAGCAUUCUGUAUCACUGUCACUUCUCUCAAAACACAUUUGAAGGCAUUGUUAUGAAUUGUAUUGUUUGUUUGUUGUUGCCUCCUCUCUACUGGGUCAAAAUGGCAGACUUGGCACAGAGUAACAGUUGGAGUUCUACCCUGUUACUGUCAUUU
rnacentral:lncRNA from 1 species